rnacentral:lncRNA from 1 species
CGAAAUAUUUAGCCCAUUUUAUACAUAUAAUGGAAAGGAGAAUGUUUAUAGCAAUACAUUACAAAUAUGAUAAAAUAAUUGUGAAGAUACAAGUUUAUAGAUAAAACCCUUUUUUGAAGCAUGGACUUGAUUCUUCAAGAGCUUUGCCAAAUUCUUGAUGUAAUCUCCUUGUUGCUCUAUAUUGAAUCUCCAAAAUACCAAGCAAAAAAAAAGAAAAGAAAAGAAAAUGAAAGAAAGAAGAAGCAGAAUUGUCCCAGGCAGAAGCUGCGACCCAGAAUUCUUUUCUCUGAAUUCUGCCCAGCUGCUGUUUGUAACAUUAAAGCCUAAGGAAAAUUGCAGCUUUGGUCACUGAAGUUUUGAAAAUAAGACAAAAUGGUUCCCAAGAUUCUUUUUAAAUAAAAAGGGUGCGGCAGCACCCAAGAAUCUGUCCAGCAACCAAAAUACAGAAUUUUGGUCAAUUUGCAGCUCAGUCCCUAGGAUAAUUGCGCAUCAGGUCCCUCAACUUUGAUCUUGUACAAUUUGGUCCCUAGAUUUUGACUUUUCUUUCAAUUAUGCCCUCCAUAGAUUGCACCCCAAGGUCCUUCACUUUUUGACUUGUUUUCCUUGGCCCAACGUCAUAAAUGGUGUACGCUUUUAGUCCAUUUUCCUUAUUUUGUCUUGUUCGCUUUACUUGAGUGAUUUUUAGCCUACAAAAACGAAUAUUACAUAAUUGUGAGUGGAAUUUCAUUCAUUUAAUCAAUAAUUAUAUAAAAUUAAGUGCCCAAUAAGUGUGCAAAAAUACACUUAUCACACACCCAAACUUAAACUCUUGCUCGUCCCGAGCAAGAUGUUAACACACUAAAUAGCUUGCCAAAAAUAUCAGUGAGGGUAAAAUUGUAUAAUCAAUUCACAAAUAUGCUCCAAAUAAUGCUAGCAAAAAUAAAUUAAGCUUAUCCAAUGUUCGAUCGGUGUGUGUGUGUGUAAAGUCACUUUCAAUCAUUAUCUAAAUUAGGAAAAAUUUGUCAAGACGGAAAAAUCUUCAAAUUGGCUCCAACCCGACCCUUUGUGGUCAAAUAUUUCCUUUCCCACUCAUGAAAUUUACACUCCUCAAAUGAAUAUUCAUUUCUUUCCCCGAUGUGUAAAUCUAAGGCUGCUCUCAAUUCACUCAUUUCUUUUCCCGCUCUAGUUCGGUUGGGUCUAACUGGUAAUAUCAAUCUCUAGUCAUGUGAUGAUUCUCUACUAAUGAGUGCUUUCACAUUCAAGUUUAUACUAAGCAAUUCAAACCCACUAGUUAUCUAAGCCAAAUAUCAAUAACAUUUUUUUUCUUUUUAGUUGAAUCCCAUGUUUUACCUCAUUUUCUUAAGCUUUCUUCUUGACCCUUGUAGCGAGUUUUGGGUCGACAACUCCCCGGUUGUUUAGGUCAAAGGGUAUUGGGUUUCAAAAUACCCCUAUGGACUUAAUAACUCGAGUAAAAAGGCUACGAAGUGAGGCCCAAGAUUUAACAAGUGUAAUAACUUCAUUUUUUUUAAAAGGGGCUUAGAUCCCUAGCAUACAGUCAUUACCUAGCUUAUACUCGACAAAAGACACUCCACACAAAUAUUUUCAACAUGCACAAAAUCACCCACUUCUAGAUAAUCUCCUUCAUCGGCUCAACCACCCCCAAACUUAUCUCACAAUGUGGUAAAGUGAAACAAAAGAGAAUAUAGAUUGACAAAAAUUUCCAAACAACUCACAAGUCACAACCUAGUUCAACCAAUUCAAAAAAAUAUAUCUUUCAAUCAAAAAUUUUUCACAUCUAGAUAACAAUUAAUCAUAACUAUUGUGCUCAAAGUAAUUCAAAAUCUCACAAUAGAUAAGCAAUUUUUUUGAAAAAAAAAUACGCACAAAUAGCAUUUUUGGUCAUGUAUGCAUAACUCAUGAAUCAAUAACAUUUUCAAACAUCAAAACCAUGGAAAGCUGCCAAGGCUAUCUAACAUAUCAAUACAAUAUCACCAAUUCAAGCACAAUCACCCCCAAACUUAAACUACACAUUGUCUUCGAUGUGUGCAUAAAUACAAAAUAAAGAGAGAGGGUUGACAAAACUUCCCUGAUUAGGUGUUUGUUGAAGGAUGUUGUAGACAAAUUUUUGGUUUAUGACUUAGUGGACCAUGCACCCCCAAACUUGUUGAGAUCUAUAGGUGGCUAGGACUUCAAAAAUUUUGACCUACAAAAGAAUUCUAUUAAUUCAAAAUGUAAUAACAAAAGUAUUAAUCACAAGUAACAUAAAUAAAAGUGUAAGGAUAAGAAAGUUGGGUUGCCUCCCAACAAGCGCUUGGUUAUAGUCCCUAGCUCGACUAUAGGCCUUGUUCACUCCAAUUGGCAAGAGGAAUAGAGGACUUUUCCUUAGAAAAAUCACCUCCAAAGUAUGGUUUCAAUUGUUGCCCGUUAACCUUGAAAUUCGCCUUUCCUCAUGAUGAAGGUUAAUUGCUCCAUGUGGAAAAAUCUUAGCAAUGGUAAAAGGACCAAACCAUCUCGAGCGGAGCUUUCCGGGAAAGAAUCAGAGUCGAGAAUUGUAGAGAGGAACUUGUUGCCCAACAAAGAACUCGUGUUUCACAAUGUGUUUAUCAUGCCAUUUCUUUGUCUUUUCUUUGUAAAUUUGAGCAUUCUCAUAAGAGUCAAGGUGGACUUCAUCCAGUUCAUUCAAUUGGAUUUCACAUCAAAUUCAAAGCUUUUACUGCCAAAUAAGUUCGAUGCUCAAGUUCUACUGGGAGGUGACAAGCUUUCCCAAACAAAAGACGAUAGGGAGACUUACCAAUGGACGUUUUGAACGUAGUAUGAUAAGCCCAUAAUGCAUCAUCCAAUUUCUUGGACCAAUCUUUUCUAGAGGCACUCAUCGUCGAUUCAAAAAUUCUCUUCAACUCCCGAUUCGAAAUUUCAACUUGGCCACUAGUUUGGGGAUGAUAGGGAGUGGCUAUACGAUGCUUUACUCCAUAUUUGGUCAAUACUGAGUCGAAGAGGCGAUUACAAAAAUGUUUACCUCCAUCACUAAUGAUAGCUCGGGGAGUGCCAUAGAGAGAGAAAAUAUUUUUCUUUUAAAAAAGUUUACUACCACCCGAGCAUCAUUAGCGGGCAAAGCCACCGCAUCUACCCACUUUAACACGUAAUCAAUCGCUAACAAUAUGUAUUGAUUUGAGAAUGAAGGAGGAAAAGGUCCUAUAAAAUCAAUACCCCACAAUCAAAAAUUUCCAGCCCUAAUAUAGAAUUCAAAGGCAUUUCAUUUCGGUUGGAAAUAUUACCACUGCGUUGGCAUUUGUCGCACUUGUAGACAAAAGUGUGAGCAUCUUUGAAUAAUGUGGGCCAAUAAAAAUCGGAUUGAAGUACCUUUGAUGCGGUUUUCACGGCCCCGAAGUGAUCACCAUAGGGUCAGGAAUGACAUUGUUCAAGGAUUUGCUCCAUUUCAUCUUCCAGCACACAUCUCCGAAUAAUUUGAUCCGGGCCCCGUUUGAACAACAAAGGGUCAUCCCAAAAAUAAUGCUUGAUGUCGGCGAAGAACUUCUUCCUUUGUUGGUAAGAGAGAUCCGGGGAAAUGAUGCCACUAGCAAGAAAGUUCACAUGGUCCGCAUACCAUGGUAUAUGGGUGGCUUGUAAAAGAUGCAUAAUUUGCAAGAGUUGUUCAUCGGGAAAUAUCUCAUUUAUCUCCCCAUCCACCACCUCUUUGGUUUGCUUAAGUCGAGACAAAUGAUCGGCAACAAUAUUUAGGGUCCCUUUUUUAUUGUGAAUUUUCAAGUCGAACUCUUGUAGAAGAAGGACCCAUCUAAUUAAUCGAGGCUAGGCAUCUUUCUUUGCUAGCAAAUGCGUGAGGGCUGAGUGGUCCAUGAAAACCAUCACUUUCGAUCCAAUGAGGUAAGAUCGAAAUUUAUAAAAUGCAAAUACCACUGCGAGCAUCUCUUUUUCAGUAAUGGCAUAGUUCAGUUGAACAUCAGUCAAAGUCCAACUAGCAUAGUAAAUAACAUGCAAAAUUUUAUUUCUCCUUUACCCCAAAACUGCUCCAAUGGCAUAAUCGCUUGCAUCGUACAUAACUUCAAAUGGUAAAUUCCAAUCCGGAGCUACAAUGAUAGGAGCCGUGAUGAGUUUCUCUUUAAGAGUGUUAAAAGCAUGGAGGCACUCUUGAGAAAAAUCAAAUGGAGUGUUUUUCUCAAGUAAGGAGCAAAGUGACUUUGUGACCUUCGAGAAGUCCUUGAUAAACCUCCUAUAAAAUCCGGCAUGUCCCAAAAAACUCCUUAUCCCUGUCAUCGAGGUAGGUGGAGGUAAUUUCUCAAUGUCUUGGAUUUUUGCAUUGUCAACCUCUAUCCCUUUACGUGAAAUCUGAUGGCCGAGAACUAUGUCUUCCUGGACCAUGAAAUGACAUUUUUCCCAAUUAAGUACUAAAUUUGUCUCCUCACAUCUUUUCAACACCAUCUCUAAAUUGCUCAAACAUCCGUCAAAUAAGGCCCCAAAUACGGAGAAGUCAUUCAUAAAAACCUCAAUACAUUUCUCCACCAUAUCGGAGAAUAUAGCCAUCAUACACCUUUGGAAAGUGGCGGGUGCGUUGCAAAGGCCAAAGGGCAUCCUUCUAUAUGCAAAUUUACCAUAUGGGCAUGUGAAGAUAGUUUUCUCUUGAUCCUCUGGGGCUAUAGGAGUUUGAUUAUAGCCUAAAUACCCAUCCAAAAAACAAUAAUGAGAAUACCCUGCUAACCGCUCAAGCAUUUGAUCAAUAAAAGGAAGAGGAAAGUGAUCCUUCCUUGUAACCUUGUUAAGCUUGCGGUAAUCUAUGCAUACCCUCCAACCGGUCACGGGGCUAGUAGGUAUAAGCUCAUUAUCCUCAUUUUCCACAACCAUCACACCUCCUUUCUUUGGUACCACUUGAAUGGGGCUCACUCAUGCACUAUCUGAAAUCGGAUAAAUAAUGCCCGUAUCAAGCCACUUUACCACCUCGGCUCUUACCACUUCUUUCAUGUUGGGGUUCAACCGCCUUUGAUGCUCCACUGAUGGUUUGAAAUCAUCCUCCAUAAGGAUUUUGUGCAUGCAUAGUGAAGGACUAAUUCCUUUAAUAUCUGCAAUAGUCCAACCAAUGGCUCCCUUGUGCUCCCUCAACACCCGAAGCAACUUCUCUUCCUCCAAUUCAUUUAAGAAAUUAGCAAUGAUAAUCGAAAGCAUAGAUGACUCUCCCAAAUAAGUAUACCUCAAAUGAGAUGGAAGAGGCUUCAAAUUAAGUAUAGGUGCUUGCUGAAAAGAUGGCAGUGGUGGUGAAGAGCUCUUUUUCGAGUCCUCAUAAUUUGGUGCUAUCUUAUAAGACCGAGAAGGUGUAGCCUCCAAAUAGUGUACCAUAUGCUCAACUUCAGGAUCUUCCUCUUUGAUAGCCGAAGGAUAAACAAGACAUGUUUCUAGAGGAUCCUUAGAAAGCCAAUAAAAAGACUUGGCAACCACAUGAUCAAUAACAUCCACUCGAAGGCAUGAAUCAGAUUCCAAUAGAUACUUGAUGGCCUUCAAGUUAUUGAAUGUAACUUUUUCAUCUUGGACUCUUAGAAUGAGCUGCCCCUCUUGUACAUCAAUCAAAGCUCAGCCAGUGGCAAGAAAUGGUCGUCCUAAAAUGAUAGGGAUGUCAUGAUCCUUUUUCAUGUCAAGAAUUAUGAAAUCGGCUGGAAAUAUGAAUUUGUCCACCUUGACCAGUACAUCCUCAAUGACACCCCGAGGAUAUUUAAUUGAUCGAUCAACCAAUUGUAAUGAUACAAUGGUGGCCUUAGCUUCUCCCAAUCCCAGCUUCCUGAAACUAGACAAAGGCAUGAAAUUAAUACUGGUACCAAGAUUACAUAAAGCUUUAUUAAAAUUUAAAUCUCCAAUAGUGCAUGGAAUAGUAAAACUCCUUGGAUCUUUGAUUUUCGGUGGUAGCUUCUUUUAAAGGAUAGCACUACACUCUUUCGUUAGCAUUACGUCUCAUGUUCUUUGAGUUUCCUUUUGUUUGAAAGAAUGUCCUUCAUAAAUUUGGCAUUACUCGACAUUUGAGCUAAUGCAUCGACAAACAGAAUGUUUAUGUGUAGCUUCUUGAAUACCUCCAAAAAUUUUCCGAAUUGAGCAUCCAAUUUUUGUUUGUGAAGCCUUUGUGAGAAAGGAAUAGGAGGCACAUAGGCUUUGACCGGUAUUGGAGCCUUUGAUGUUGAUGGCUUCGGUUCUUCUUCAAUUAGUGUCUCAUCCUUUGAUCAAGUUCUUGCAUAAUCCUUUUUUCUUCAAUGGGUGCCUUGUCGGUUUGACCCUUAGGGUAUGUCACCGUGAUUUCGGACAAUUGCAUCCCACUUCUAGUGGUAAUAGCUUGUGCAUUCUCCCUUGGAUUUGUUUCGGUGUUGCCAGGCAAUACCCCCUGUUGCCUUUCAGAGAUAAGCUUGGUACUUUGACCCACUUAACGUUCCAAGUUUUUCAAAGAGGCAUCAUUGCGUUCUUGAUAUUGCAAUUGAUGGUUUGCCAACUUAGCAAUGGCCUCUUCCCAACUUUCUUUUUUCUCUUGUGGCCUCGGGUUGAGCACAUUUUGAUUAUUUCCAUAAGAAAAGUUCGGAUGAUUUCGCCAACUGGGGUUAUAAGUUUGCGAAUAAGGAUUGUACCCUUGGCAUUGAAAGUUUUGAGUAUAUGCCACUUGCUUGGUAGAUGCUGAACCACUACCUAUCAAUGUACAACUCAGGCUUGGGUGAUUUGCUCCACAAAUAUCACAAAUAGGCGGAGAUUGUACCAUAUGAGCGGAAUGAGAGCUCGAGUUAGAUGUAGAAAGUCCUUCUACCUUCUGUGCUAGUGAGUCGAUCUUUG